UGGGGAAUAUUGGACAAUGGGGGAAACCCUGAUCCAGCAAUGCCACGUGAGUGAAGAAGGCCUUAGGGUUGUAAAGCUCUUUCGCCCGCGAAGAUAAUGACGGUAGCGGGAGAAGAAGCCCCGGCUAACUCCGUGCCAGCAGCCGCGGUAAUACGGAGGGGGCUAGCGUUGUUCGGAAUUACUGGGCGUAAAGCGUACGUAGGCGGAUGCGCAAGUUGGGGGUGAAAUCCCGGGGCUUAACCUCGGAAUUGCCCUCAAAACUGCACGUCUUGAGACCGAGAGAGGUAAGGGGAAUUCCUAGUGUAGAGGUGAAAUUCGUAGAUAUUAGGAAGAACACCAGUGGCGAAGGCGCCUUACUGGCUCGGUACUGACGCUGAGGUACGAAAGCGUGGGGAGCAAACA
rnacentral:rRNA from 1 species